CAUGGAAUGCAGGGCACAAGCAGUCUGUCUGCUGGGUGAUGAUGCUUAAUGUGCCUUUCAGUAUGGCCAGCAGGCGUUAAAAAAAUACUCUGAAACUUUCAAGGGUGUUUGUUGUAGAGACCAUUUCUUACUUCACACAAUAUCUCAGAGAAUGCCUUCAAGUGAAAGAAAACCAAAAGCCCAGUGGUACCAGCACAAAUCACUGUCUGCCUGUAUUGAUGCCCUGUAUUUUCAAUAAGCAACCCUUCUGCAGAAUAUCCAGAAGUCCCUCACCACUGAGAUAGAGUGAGACAGACAACCUGGACUUCAAAUAUUCUCUAUACUUGGAACUUGGAAAAAAAACAGGCCCUUUAAAAAUCACAUCUUGAUUGUAAUUGAGACCCAGCAAGUCUUCUUAAUAAAAUAGAAUUAAAAAUGGA